rnacentral:misc_RNA from 1 species
UCCGGUUUGUCACCGGCAGUCACCUUAGAGUGCCCAACCUAAUGCUGGCAACUAAGAUCAAGGGUUGCGCUCGUUGCGGGACUUAACCCAACAUCUCACGACACGAGCUGACGACAACCACGCACCACCUGUCAUCCUGUCCCCCGAAGGGGAACGUCCUAUCUCUAGGGCGGUCCGCCGUUGUCUAGCCCGGGUAAGGUUCUUCGCGUUGCGUCGAAUUAAACCACAUGCUCCACCGCUUGUGCGGGCCCCCGUCAAUUCCUUUGAGUUUUAGCCUUGCGGCCGUACUCCCCAGGCGGGGCACUUAAUGCGUUAGCUACGGCGCCGGGGGAGUCGACACCCCCAACACCUAGUGCCCAUCGUUUACGGCGUGGACUAC